UGUGAUCUUAGAUAAGGAUCUUCAUCUGUCUCUUUCCAUUUCUUCAUCUGAAACCUGGGGCUAAUGUGACUUACCUGGCGUUGAAGACUCUGGGUUAUGUGUGUGUAGUGUCUGCCACAUGGCAGAUACGCUGAUGGUCACUAGGUUCUUAUGGCAUUAUUUAAAUUGUGGACACAUUCCACAAUGACUGCAGAAAAUCUCGCUAGCAUAUUUAUUGUAGAUUUCUCCCUCGUAUCCUGGUUAAUGGGGCAAGUACACCCCUGGUUCAGCUGGUCUCUGUCCAAAUAAUGUCAAGUCCUGAUCUGUGCCAGACACUGCUGCCAUGCCAAGCACCUGAUACAUAGCAUAUUUAAUCUGCACACACCCCUUACAAGGUAAAUGUCAUUUCCAUAUUCAAGAAAAAUAUUGCAUGCCUAGCAUGUGCCAUGCACUGUUCUGGGCCCUAAGAAGAAAACACGGAUAAUUUAAGGAAUUUGCCCACGGUCACCCACCUGGUGCUAUAGGUCAGCUUCCCGAGGAAACACUUAGAGACUUUUAUUUGGGGAGAACCUUUAGGACAGGAACCUGUGGAGAGCGAAGGCAGCAGCAGGUGGGGGUGGCGGGCCCAAGCUCAGUGUGGCUGCCUCUGAGGCCUCACCCAGUUCAUGGGCACUCUGGAGCCAGAGGCAAGGGAGUUGAGCCUUCUACAAACACCCCUGGCCUGGCACCAGCCAUUGGAUAUGUGCUGCUUCCUGACAGCGGGUGGGACCUUGGGCGAGGUGGCUUUGUUGGUCUGUAAUUCCUGCUGAGGGACUGCUGAGAGCAGUUAGUGUGGGAACUUCCAGCAGCUGGAGGAGCUCUCAGCUAGGCAGUGGCAAAGUGGCGUCCAGCCUGUGUCUCUGCCUCCCAGGCUUGGGCUCUUUCCACUUGAAAGCUUACUUUUUAGGCUUGAGGGAUUAGCAGGAAAAGCAGCAAGGCACAGAGGACCAUGGGGACAGGAAGUGACUGGAAGUGGGGAGGCCGGAGGCUUGGCUGGGGCUGGAGUGGCCAGCUUGGGAGGGGCCUGAACACCAAGCACCUCACCUCCUAGGGCAGCUGACCUGGGGCUCCGGGUACUCUGAGCCCUGCUGCCCAUUUUACUUUUUAUUUUACAGACAGGAAACAAUUAUACAUAAAUGAUAAAAGUUCAGAGUUCAGGGAAAGAUAAGUCGACCCACCCAAGGUGAUCCCUAGCUAGUCCUUUUCUCUAAGGUUAACAGAGCUUCAAGUUUCUUCCAUGCUGUUGGUGAAAAUGUGUAUGUAUCAUAACAACACACAUAUAUACAUGACUGAAGAGUCAUCCUAUUUACAGCCUGUUCUGCACUUCCUUUUUCACCUGAUGUCUCUGGAUUGUAGGCUCUUGCCACAUCACCACAUAGGAUCUCUUCGUUCUUUUGAGCAGCCACAUUAGUAUCUGUUGAUGGCAGUCCGGGUUGUUUCCAGUUGUUAUUAGAAAUAAUGCUGCAGUGAGCACCCUCGUUCAUGUAUCUUAGAGUAGUUUUGCCAGCAGAGCCAUUGGGUAAGUUCCUAGCAGUGGAAUUGCUGAGUCAAACGUUUUUUUUUUUAAACAACACUCUGUUGGGAGUACAGAGGAGGAGCUGGUGGGAUGGCGGUAGGGAGUCCAGCUGGAGGCCACUGCGGGGAUCCUGGGGCAAGUGGUGGUGAUGGCUUGGCGUGAUCCUGAGCAGGCUGAAGCCCCUGGAGACUGCUUGGAGAGGAGGGAGGGUGAGGUGAACUUGAGCCCUGAGCGAGUGGGACGGAGGCUCUGAGUAAGCGGACCAUCAGCAGAUGACCUUGUAGCUUGAGGACUGCCUGGAAGGGGGCCAGGGUUGCCGGGCAGGCCUGGGCAGCCUGUCCUCCCAACCCACCCUGAAUGAGGGCAG
rnacentral:lncRNA from 10 species